rnacentral:rRNA from 1 species
AAUGCCUAGGAAUCUGCCUGGUAGUGGGGGAUAACGUUCGGAAACGGACGCUAAUACCGCAUACGUCCUACGGGAGAAAGCAGGGGACCUUCGGGCCUUGCGCUAUCAGAUGAGCCUAGGUCGGAUUAGCUAGUUGGUGAGGUAAUGGCUCACCAAGGCGACGAUCCGUAACUGGUCUGAGAGGAUGAUCAGUCACACUGGAACUGAGACACGGUCCAGACUCCUACGGGAGGCAGCAGUGGGGAAUAUUGGACAAUGGGCGAAAGCCUGAUCCAGCCAUGCCGCGUGUGUGAAGAAGGUCUUCGGAUUGUAAAGCACUUUAAGUUGGGAGGAAGGGUUGUAGAUUAAUACUCUGCAAUUUUGACGUUACCGACAGAAUAAGCACCGGCUAACUCUGUGCCAGCAGCCGCGGUAAUACAGAGGGUGCAAGCGUUAAUCGGAAUUACUGGGCGUAAAGCGCGCGUAGGUGGUUUGUUAAGUUGGAUGUGAAAUCCCCGGGCUCGACCUGGAAACUGCAUUCAAAACUGACUGACUAGAGUAUGGUAGAGGGUGGUGGAAUUUCCUGUGUAGCGGUGAAAUGCGUAGAUAUAGGAAGG